rnacentral:rRNA from 1 species
GAUUGGAAGGGCUGGUAAGGAGGUCCAGGAAAUAACUCUCACGUAUGGACCGUACCCCAAACCGACACAGGUGGGCAGGUUGAAUAUACCAAGGCGCUUGAGAGAAUGAUGUUGAAGGAACUCGGCAAAUUGCCCCCGUAACUUCGGGAGAAGGGGGCCCACCGUGAAGGCAACUUUACGGUGGGGGCACAGACUAGGGGGUGGCGACUGUUUACUAAAAACACAGGGCUCUGCGAAGUCGCAAGACGACGUAUAGGGUCUGACGCCUGCCCGGUGCCGGAAGGUUAAGAGGAGAUGUGCAAGCAUUGAAUUGAAGCCCCGGUAAACGGCGGCCGUAACAAUAACGGUCCUAAGGUAGCGAAAUUCCUUGUCGGGUAAGUUCCGACCUGCACGAAUGGCGUAACGACUUCCCCACUGUCUCCAACAUCAACUCAGCGAAAUUGAAUUCUCCGUGAAGAUGCGGAGUACCCGCGGUCAGACGGAAAGACCCCGUGCACCUUUACUACAGCUUUGCAGUGGUAUCAGGAGUUGGAUGUGUAGGAUAGGCGGGAGCCUUUGAAGCGUAGGCGCUAGCUUGCGUGGAGGCACCCUUGAAAUACCGCCCUUCUGUCUUCUGAUAUCUAACCGCGGCCCGUUAUCCUGGUCCGGGACCCUGCAUGGCGG